UUCUUUUUAGUAGACAUGAAAUGUACUUUAAACCAUAAAUGGAUAUGAAAGAGGAAGCUAAACGGGCAAGAGUCCCAACCUUAUCAUUUUGUCAUUUAAGGUUUGGACUCAUAUUAGCUUUCAGAUUUGUUUUUUUUU
rnacentral:sRNA from 1 species